UGUGACGUCGGUGUUUCACGGCGUUCCGGUAUCGUUCAUAAUAUCGGUUCUAAAGUGUGUUGACAUUGCGGAGACUCGUGUUUUGUUUUUCCUCUCUCCGCAAAUCGCGUGAUGGCGUGACACAAUCGGUCCGAGUUCACCGGCAACAGACCACUGUUUCAGACAUAAUCACGGCGGUCCAACAAUCGCCGAACGUUCGUUAUUCAUAACGCGG